rnacentral:rRNA from 1 species
UACGUAGGGUGCGAGCGUUAAUCGGAAUUACUGGGCGUAAAGCGUGCGCAGGCGGUUUUGUAAGUCAGAUGUGAAAUCCCCGGGCUUAACCUGGGAACUGCGUUUGAAACUACAAGGCUAGAGUGUAGCAGAGGGGGGUGGAAUUCCACGUGUAGCAGUGAAAUGCGUAGAGAUGUGGAGGAACACCGAUGGCGAAGGCAGCCCCCUGGGCCAAUACUGACGCUCAUGCACGAAAGCGUGGGGAGCAAACAGG